rnacentral:rRNA from 1 species
AUAAGUAACGAUAAAGCGGGUGAAAAGCCCGCUCGCCGGAAGACCAAGGGUUCCUGUCCAACGUUAAUCGGGGCAGGGUGAGUCGACCCCUAAGGCGAGGCCGAAAGGCGUAGUCGAUGGGAAACGGGUUAAUAUUCCCGUACUUGGUGUUACUGCGAAGGGGGGACGGAGAAGGCUAUGUUGGCCGGGCGACGGUUGUCCCGGUUUAAGCGUGUAGGUGUGUGUUCCAGGUAAAUCCGGUUCACUUUAACACUGAGGCGUGACGACGAGGCACUACGGUGCUGAAGCAACAAAUGCCCUGCUUCCAGGAAAAGCCUCUAAGCAUCAGGUAACAUCAAAUCGUACCCCAAACCGACACAGGUGGUCAGGUAGAGAAUACCAAGGCGCUUGAGAGAACUCGGGUGAAGGAACUAGGCAAAAUGGUGCCGUAACUUCGGGAGAAGGCACGCUGACACGUAGGUGAAGUGAUUUACUCAUGGAGCUGAAGUCAGUCGAAGAUACCAGCUGGCUGCAACUGUUUAUUAAAAACACAGCACUGUGCAAACACGAAAGUGGACGUAUACGGUGUGACGCCUGCCCGGUGCCGGAAGGUUAAUUGAUGGGGUCAGCGCAAGCGAAGCUCCUGAUCGAAGCCCCGGUAAACGGCGGCCGUAACUAUAACGGUCCUAAGGUAGCGAAAUUCCUUGUCGGGUAAGUUCCGACCUGCACGAAUGGCGUAAUGAUGGCCAGGCUGUCUCCACCCGAGACUCAGUGAAAUUGAACUCGCUGUGAAGAUGCAGUGUACCCGCGGCAAGACGGAAAGACCCCGUGAACCUUUACUAUAGCUUGACACUGAACAUUGAGCCUUGAUGUGUAGGAUAGGUGGGAGGCUUUGAAGUGUGGACGCCAGUCUGCAUGGAGCCGACCUUGAAAUACCACCCUUUAAUGUUUGAUGUUCUAACGUGGACCCGUGAUCCGGGUUGCGGACAGUGUCUGGUGGGUAGUUUGACUGGGGCGGUCUCCUCCUAAAGAGUAACGGAGGAGCACGAAGGUUGGCUAAUCCUGGUCGGACAUCAGGAGGUUAGUGCAAUGGCAUAAGCCAGCUUGACUGCGAGCGUGACGGCGCGAGCAGGUGCGAAAGCAGGUCAUAGUGAUCCGGUGGUUCUGAAUGGAAGGGCCAUCGCUCAACGGAUAAAAGGUACUCCGGGGAUAACAGGCUGAUACCGCCCAAGAGUUCAUAUCGACGGCGGUGUUUGGCACCUCGAUGUCGGCUCAUCACAUCCUGGGGCUGAAGUAGGUCCCAAGGGUAUGGCUGUUCGCCAUUUAAAGUGGUACGCGAGCUGGGUUUAGAACGUCGUGAGACAGUUCGGUCCCUAUCUGCCGUGGGCGCUGGAGAACUGAGGGGGGCUGCUCCUAGUACGAGAGGACCGGAGUGGACGCAUCACUGGUGUUCGGGUUGUCAUGCCAAUGGCACUGCCCGGUAGCUAAAUGCGGAAGAGAUAAGUGCUGAAAGCAUCUAAGCACGAAACUUGCCCCGAGAUGAGUUCUCCCUGAGACUUAGAGUCUCCUGAAGGAACGUUGAAGACGACGACGUUGAUAGGCCGGGUGUGUAAGCGCAGCGAUGCGUUGAGCUAACCGGUACUAAUGAACCGUGAGGCUUAACCUUAC